rnacentral:rRNA from 1 species
UACGUAGGGGGCAAGCGUUGUCCGGAAUCAUUGGGCGUAAAGAGCGCGUAGGCGGCUUGGCAAGUCUCGCGUGAAAUCCUGCGGCUCAACCGCAGGCGGUCGCGGGAAACUGCCUCGCUAGAGUCCGGAAGAGGAGAGUGGAAUUCCUGGUGUAGCGGUGGAAUGCGCAGAUAUCAGGAAGAACACCCGUGGCGAAGGCGGCUCUCUGGGACGGUACUGACGCUGAGGCGCGAAAGCGUGGGGAGCGAACAGG